GGACUAUAGCUCAGUUGGUAGAGUGCUUGCCUUGCAUGCACAGGCCCUGGGUUCAAUCCUCAGCACCA
rnacentral:tRNA from 1 species